UGGGGAAUUUUCCGCAAUGGGCGAAAGCCUGACGGAGCAAUACCGCGUGAGGGAGGAAGGCUUUUGGGUUGUAAACCUCUUUUUUCAAGGAAGAAGCAAGUGACGGUACUUGAAGAAUCAGCAUCGGCUAACUCCGUGCCAGCAGCCGCGGUAAUACGGAGGAUGCAAGCGUUAUCCGGAAUCAUUGGGCGUAAAGCGUCCGCAGGUGGCGUAUCAAGUCUGCUGUCAAAGACUAGAGCUUAACUCUAGGCAGGCAGUGGAAACUGGUAAGCUAGAGUACGGUAGGGGUUGAGGGAAUUCCCAGUGUAGCGGUGAAAUGCGUAGAUAUUGGGAAGAACACCAGUGGCGAAGGCGCUCAACUGGGCCGUAACUGACACUGAGGGACGAAAGCUAGGGGAGCGAAAGGGAUUAGAUACCCCCGUAGUCC
rnacentral:rRNA from 1 species